AGGCGGCCCGCCUAUACAUGCAGUCGAACGAGAAAGCACUUCGGUGUGAGUACAGUGGCGGACGGGUGAGUAACGCGUAGGAAUCUACCUAGUAGUGGGGGACAACUCGAGGAAACUCGAGCUAAUACCGCAUACGCUCUUAGGAGGAAAGUGGGGGAUCUUUGGACCUCACGCUAUUAGAGGAGCCUGCGUUAGAUUAGCUUGUUGGUGAGGUAAAGGCUCACCAAGGCGACGAUCUAUAGCUGGUCUGAGAGGACGAUCAGCCACACUGGAACUGAGACACGGUCCAGACUCCUACGGGAGGCAGCAGUAGGGAAUCUUGGGCAAUGGGCGAAAGCCUGACCCAGCGAUGCCGCGUGUGCGAAGAAGGCCUUAGGGUUGUAAAGCACUUUCAGUCGUGAAGAAAAGCUACGAUUUAAUAUGUCGUGGUCUUGACGUUAGCGACAGAAGAAGUACCGGCUAACUCCGUGCCAGCAGCCGCGGUAAC
rnacentral:rRNA from 1 species